UGCCAGCCACCAUUUGUUCUUGCCGUCCACAAAUGUGGCCUGCUGGCCACUCGUGCCAGUUUGGGACAGUUUUGUCUUUUCAGCCUCGGGUCUUUAAAUAUACAACUCCAAACUUCGUUUCCUCAUAAACCCUUAUCCGAAAAUCAUCCCUCUCUCUCCAGGUGCUUUCACUCUCUAGAUUUGCACUUUAUACACGUUUUCCAAUGCCCCACGUAAACUUUUUCCGUAAAACCCUCUUGAUUCUCUACAUUUUAAACAUAACAUAAUUUGAUUUCAUCACUUCUUUUUUUUUUUUUUUUCAUUUUCACCACUUUAGGCUUAUCCCCUUCGAGUUUCUCUCGGGUUUCGUAAACUUUCUCGGGUUUUGACUUUUUCUCUCAUUUUCUCUCUUCUGGGGUUGACUUUUUCCAAGUUUUCCCUCUUUUCUACAUUUUUCUUCAUUUUUCACCCACUUAUUACUUACUUUCCCAGAUGGCAGACGAUAUUCCAUUUGACGGGGUUCCUUCCGAGGUUCUGCCUCCACCAUCACCCGCUACUGAGGUUGAAGAGCUAGCGGCGAAGGGCAUUGCAGCUGACCUGGAGGCAGAGUUUGCCUCGGGACUCGAGCCCAAGCCAUUAUCACUGGGGAUUCGGCCCUUUGAUCUAGAGGCGUAUCAUUCCGGCACACAUAUAUUACUAUCCGGAGGUAUCAAGCACUUCAGCGACUUUGCAUGUGGCACGCCAGAGGACCUUCUGCUGAGGGAGCCAGAUAACACCUUAUUUUCAUGGAGACUCUCUCACCUACAGAGGAUAUGGAGUGGUGAUGGCCAGGGACUAAUACUACGAGCUCCCCGUAGGUGUCCGCAAUAUUGUCGACGAGUUUGGCUUUGGCCUUUUUUGCUCCGGACUUUCACACCUCAGAGCGAGCCGGCCCCUCCUCGGAGCGUUGGUAGAGAGGUGGUGGGACACCACCGAUUCUUCCACUUCUCUUUCGCUGGGGAGCUGACGAUGACUCCCUACGACUUCUCCAUGUUGACAGGCUUAAGAGUAGGGCGUGGUCUGAUCCGCUUCGACACGGACAUGGGUGAGUGGGAGGCAACUUGGAUCUUCCUACUUGGAGCACGCCCACUCAUAUCCAGACUAGUGAUGGUGCGAUAUAGCUGGUUUUCUGAGCAUUUCUGCAAGAGCGAGCCCGUGAUCCUAGAGGAGAUAAAGUAGUACACCUGGAGCUUCUUAAUGUUUCUUCUCGGGACCACCUUGUUCACAUAUAGGUGGAACAUCGUAGGAUUGUAUUUACUAAACGACUUAGUGACCCUGUCCCGAGUCCGAUACUAUGACUAGGACAGAGCUGGCCUCGUCACGCUUUACAGUUACAUGAGUUCUACUUCCCGCAUGAUGGGAGAGCGAGUUAAAGGCCACUGGCAGGCUUGGGAGUUAUGGGUUUACGCAUAUUUUUCGGCCUUUGCUCCGAAGCCUGUGGAUGAGAUCCCCCCAUAGUAUCGUAUUCACGACUGUUUGACAGCCAGUGCCGGCGUCAAAAUCGUGAUGAUACGACCUUCGCCUUCUUUUGCCGUUACUUCGAUAUAUUGAUCGCCGACGAGGCAACCCGAAACUCAUAAUCAUUUUUUCUUUAAUACUGCUCUGAUUCAUACUUCGAUAUUUGAUGGCAACCAAUAAUCUGUACAUUCUCUAUUUGCAGAUCACAUGGCAGCCUUAGGCGACGAUGCCGGCCAGGGUGAAGGACCAGUAUACGGGGGCCUGAGGCACAUCUCACUUCCGGAUUUUGCUAGAGGGCCCAGUCUACCGGGCUUGGUUUUUGAGCGAGCGAUUUGUAUGCCAGACCGUUGGCUCACUUGAUCCGGUCAUUUCCAUGCCACCCCUAAAGUCUAUACGGACAGUAGAUAGCCUCUCAGUUGAGGUUGUUAUUCAGUUCAUGGAGAGCCUGGAUGCGAACUUCUUCAGAGCAGAGGGUGAUUAUGUAACAUUCAUCCAGACUCAUCUUAUGUCCCCUCUAACGGGCGUUCACACAGGCGAGACAACAGGAGCUCCUAUGGCGGGUGAGGCGACUCGGGCGACCAGGGCCCAUAUUAAAGGGGCCCCUCCUGUUCAACAAAUGACCAGUUGGCUGGAGAUUCCUACUGCGCUUACAUAUGGGCGGUCGACUGGGACUGCCUACCAGAUUUUGAUCGAGCCGGCAGAGGCAGGGCACGAGUAUGUUAGAGCUCGAGGCGCGCCUCAGGCACCUACUACGGAGUAUGCAAAGAGCUUCCUUGAGCUAGUUACCUCCCUGAUCGACAUGGUGCAGAAGAGAGAGAUGUUGCAUGGUCUCCACGGUAUUCAGGUAUUUUCCCCCAUUUCAGCGUGCAUUUCAUUACUAAUUCUGUUGUGCACCACACUAUCAUAUUUCCACUGACAUAUUGGCAUCACCACUGUAGUCUUCUCCAAACUACACUGUACAUUGUAUUGGCACACUGUACUUAUAAUGUAUCUAGUUUCUGCAUGACACUCAUUUUGUAUACUAUACCUGUAUCUGAUACAUACACUGUAACUGAUAUGUUGAUAACUAUUUUUCUAGAUCUCAUCUGUACCGAGGGCACCAGUGGCAGCAGCAGCAUCAGCACUAGUAGUACCUCCUCUAUCAGCAGGGAGAUGACAGAGAUGGGCCCCAGCACGCAGCUGAGAUGAGAGUCGUGGUCGAGGUAGGGACAAGGGUGCCCGAGGCCAAAGUAGUCCUUCAGAGCCCGUUCUAAGUGGCGAUGAUGAUGACAAGGCCAGUGCCUCUAAGAUAGUGAGUCGACAUUCUGAGUCUAAGAGUGAGGACAAUGAUGCCAGCUCAGGAUCGGGAAGCGGAGAUGACACCGAGGCCGGCUCCAAGGCAGGGAGCGGAGGCUCAGAGUAUGGUUCUGACAGCGGCGCUAACGAAGACAAUGCCCCUAAGUCCUCUCUGAGGAAGAGGACGAAGAAGGCCUCCUGAGCUUGAGAUGAUUGACGCUGCUUUUUGGACUUUUUGCUUAAUUUCUUUUAGUUUUGGUAGUUUAGCAUAUGUAUAGCUUCAGAUAGGUUUUACUUUUGCUUUUGAAACUUGUACUUCUUUUGUAAAAACCAUGAUCGAAAUAAA